rnacentral:rRNA from 1 species
UACGUAGGGUGCAAGCGUUAAUCGGAAUUACUGGGCGUAAAGCGUGCGCAGGCGGUUUCGUAAGUCUGUCGUGAAAUCCCCGGGCUUAACCUGGGAAUGGCGAUGGAGACUGCGAGGCUAGAGUUUGGCAGAGGGGGGUAGAAUUCCACGUGUAGCAGUGAAAUGCGUAGAGAUGUGGAGGAACACCGAUGGCGAAGGCAAUCCCCUGGGCCUGUACUGACGCUCAUGCACGAAAGCGUGGGGAGCAAACAGG